AACCACUGGAGUGCCCAGCUCUCUGCCAGUGAAGUUCAACAUUGCUGGCAAAGAUGCAGGACCCAGACGGGAAGCCCAAGAAGCAAAUAUCUGUGACAACCAUGAUGGGACCUACCUGGUGUCUUAUGUGCCAGACAUGACUGACAGCUGCUCAGUCCAUCCAGACUCCUCUCCAUAUGCAACAGUGAUGCCGGCUCUCUCCAAGUG